AAGGUGCAUUGAACUUGGGAAUGCCAACUGUCUAUUGCAGCAAUUGAAAAGUAUCUUAGGAAAGCGUUCCUCCAGGAAAGGAGGAUCUAUGAUGGACGACAGAGAAAAAUAACGCUUUGUUUGUGAAAGAUUUUUUGAGCGCAAGCAAGGAUUAUUAAAACGAAAACCAAGCCAAACCAACUAAAUACCCAAAACGACAAAAAUCGACAAAAAAAAAAAACGACGAAAA